ensembl:lncRNA
CAACCGUUCAGACGACCCCGACCUGUGAGGACAUCCGUUGCCAAAAGGGGAUGGUGUGCAAAAUGCUGGAGGGGUGGCCCAAAUGUGUUGGCCCCAUACCAUCAUGUGGGGACAUCCAAUGUUCCCUGGGCACCGUGUGCAAGAUGGUCAACGGUUGGCCAAAAUGUGCCCACGAACCGCUCUCUUGCAGCAACAUCCACUGCCAGAAGGGGACCACGUGCCAGAUGGUGGAUGGAUGGCCACGCUGCAUCCAACUCAAGGUAUCUCCAAGGAAGCCUUCCUGCAGUGACCUCCAUUGUCCGAAGGGAACCACGUGUAAGAUGAUGGAUGGACAUCCCCAAUGUGUCCAAAAUCAACCUACCUGCAGUGACAUCCAGUGCCAGAAAGGAACCACGUGCCAGAUGGUGGAUGGUUGGCCACGGUGUGUCCAACUCAAGGUAUCUCCAAGGAAGCCUUCCUGCAGUGACAUCCACUGUCCAAAAGGAACAACCUGUAAGAUGAUGGAUGGACAUCCCCAGUGUGUCCAAAAUCAACCUACCUGCAGUGACAUCCAGUGCCAGAAGGGAACCACGUGCCAGAUGGUGGAUGGUUGGCCACGCUGCGUCCAACUUAAGGUAUCUCCAAGGAAGCCUUCCUGCAGUGACCUCCAUUGUCCGAAGGGCACUACUUGUAAG